CGUUUGGGUCUUACGCAACAGGAAUUUACGAACCGGGUCAGGUCAGGAAUGGAGCAGCCCUAAGUAAAAGCUCUUGUGUGCCGUGAGGGUGCCUGGACCGAGU
rnacentral:SRP_RNA from 1 species